rnacentral:rRNA from 1 species
AGAGUUUGAUCCUGGCUCAGGAUGAACGCUGGCGGUAUGCUUAACACAUGCAAGUCGAACGGUGUCUUCGGACACAGUGGCGGACGGGUGAGUAACGCGUGAGAAUCUGGCUUCAGGUCUGGGACAACCACUGGAAACGGUGGCUAAUACCGGAUGUGCCCUUCGGGGUGAAAGGUUAACUGCCUGAAGAUGAGCUCGCGUCUGAUUAGCUAGUAGGUGUGGUAAAGGCGCACCUAGGCGACGAUCAGUAGCUGGUCUGAGAGGACGAUCAGCCACACUGGGACUGAGACACGGCCCAGACUCCUACGGGAGGCAGCAGUGGGGAAUUUUCCGCAAUGGGCGAAAGCCUGACGGAGCAAUACCGCGUGAGGGAGGAAGGCUCUUGGGUCGUAAACCUCUUUUCUCAGGGAAGAACACAAUGACGGUACCUGAGGAAUAAGCAUCGGCUAACUCCGUGCCAGCAGCCGCGGUAAUACGGAGGAUGCAAGCGUUAUCCGGAAUGAUUGGGCGUAAAGCGUCCGCAGGUGGCGAUGUAAGUCUGCUGUUAAAGAGUGAGGCUCAACCUCAUAAGAGCAGUGGAAACUACAUAGCUAGAGUACGUUCGGGGCAGAGGGAAUUCCUGGUGUAGCGGUGAAAUGCGUAGAGAUCAGGAAGAACACCAGUGGCGAAGGNNCUCUGCUAGGCCGUAACUGACACUGAGGGACGAAAGCUAGGGGAGCGAAUGGGAUUAGAUACCCUAGUAGUCC